UACGGCUAUGUCACAUUGAAACACUGGUUCUCGUACGAUUACUGAAGUUAAGCAACGUCGAGUCUGGUAAGUACCUAAGUGGGUGACCGCUUUGGAAUACCAGUUGC